ACAUGUUAUGUGUGGCGUCUAUUGCAAGGGACUUAGACAGUAGCAAACACGAGCCAGCUAAACAACCAAAACGUAACCGCAAAGUGACAUACAAAUGUAAACAAGCUGCAAUUGAAAAAAACCAGUUGCAACAUGCCGAAACGGCAUCGCAGCUAACAACAAACAUUCUAUGUCUACUAUCAAAAACACUUAUUGCAUACAAGAAGUAAAAAANNN
rnacentral:lncRNA from 1 species